AAAACUCAAAGGACUUGGCGGUGCUUUAUAUCCCUCUAGAGGAGCCUGUUCUGUAAUACAGAUACCCCCCGAAUAGACCUCACCAACUCUGGCCAAAUCAGCCUAUAUACCGCCAUCUUCAGCCAACCCCUAAAAAGGAAGCACAGUAAGCACMAUCAUCAGCAUAAAAACGUUAGGUCAAGGUGUAGCCCAUGAGUUGGAAAGAAAUGGGCUACAUUUCCCCAACCCGAGGAUACACACGAAAGCCCUUGUGAAACCAAGAGCCAAAGGUGGAUUUAGCAGUWAACUAAGAAYAGAGCGCUUGGUUGGAUAAGGCCAUGAGGCACGCACACACCGCCCGUCACCCUCCUCAAGCAAAAUAUCACACUCCUACAUAAGUUUUAAACACCMGCCAGCAAGAGGAGAUAAGUCGUAACAAGGUAAGUGUACUGGAAWGUGCACUUGGACAACGCAAG
rnacentral:rRNA from 1 species